rnacentral:rRNA from 2 species
UGGGUAAUCUUGGGCAAUGGGCGCAAGCCUGACCCAGCAACGCCGCGUGAGGGAAGAAGGGCUUCGGAUUGUAAACCUCUGUCCUUGGGGACGAAAAAAAUGACGUUACCCAAGUAGGAAGCUCCGGCUCACUACGUGCCAGCAGCCGCGGUAAUACGUAGGGAGCGAGCGUUGUCCGGAAUUACUGGGCGUAAAGGGUGCGUAGGCGGCAUGGCAAGUCAGAUGUGAAAUUCCCGGGCUUAACUCGGGGGGUGCAUUUGAAACUGCUGAGCUUGAGUGCAGGAGAGGAAAGCGGAAUUCCUAGUGUAGCGGUGAAAUGCGUAGAUAUUAGGAGGAACACCAGUGGCGAAGGCGGCUUUCUGGACUGUAACUGACGCUGAGGCACGAAAGCGUGGGGAGCAAACAGG